UCCUACGGGAGGCAGCAGUGGGGAAUAUUGCACAAUGGGCGAAAGCCUGAUGCAGCGACGCCGCGUGCGGGAAGAAGGCCUUCGGGUUGUAAACCGCUUUCAAUUGGGAAGAAGAGAUGAGCGCUAAUAUCGCUCUGAUUUGACGGUACCUUUAGAAGAAGCACCGGCUAAUUUCGUGCCAGCAGCCGCGGUAAUACGAAAGGUGCAAGCGUUGUUCGGAUUUACUGGGCGUAAAGAGAUCGUAGGUGGUUUGUUAAGUCGGAUGUGAAAUCCCAAGGCUCAACCUUGGAACUGCAUUCGAUACUGGCAGGCUAGAGUUUGGGAGGGGUAAGCGGAAUUCCGUGUGUAGCAGUGAAAUGCGUAGAUAUACGGAGGAACACCUGAGGCGAAGGCGGCUUACUGGACCAAUACUGACACUGAGGAUCGAAAGCGUGGGUAGCAAACAGGAUUAGAUACCCUGGUAGUCCACGCCCUAAACGAUGUCAACUAGCCGUAGCGGGUAUCGACCCCUGCUGUGGCGAAGCUAACGCGAUAAGUUGACCGCCUGGGGAGUACGGUCGCAAGAUUAAAACUCAAAGGAAUUGACGG
rnacentral:rRNA from 1 species